AUGCGGUGCCCUUAUUUGGUGGGGGAUUGUAAGAGCAGGCCCAAAAGUGACGUGGUGGGAAUACAGCUUGCUGCAGCCCGUGAUGGGAACUGGUGGGACUUCCUGUCCUAUGUCAAUGUGAAGACGUACACACCCAUGCCAUCAAUCUUUUGUCAAGUGUUGCUCACUGUAUUCAUGGUACUACAGGGGACCAUCACCAGACUCAUCAACUUCCUCGGCUUCACCGGAUAGGUCAUCUCCUUUGUCUGUGCUCUAUGUUGUAUUGUACUGAGGUUUAAAUAAAGGACGACCCGAAACGAAUAAAGGUUCCCCUCCUCAUCCAUAUCAGCUUCAUGCUGUGGUGUUUGUUCUUCAUUGUUGCACCUAUUGCACAGAAUCCACAGAUUGAGGUGCUGUAUGCCACCAUAUUCAUUGCUGGGCGUCUCGUUGUCUAUUUCCCACACA